AUUGAACGCUGGCGGCAGGCCUAACACAUGCAAGUCGAGCGGUAGAGAGAAGCUUGCUUCUCUUGAGAGCGGCGGACGGGUGAGUAAUGCCUAGGAAUCUGCCUGGUAGUGGGGGAUAACGUUCGGAAACGGACGCUAAUACCGCAUACGUCCUACGGGAGAAAGCAGGGGACCUUCGGGCCUUGCGCUAUCAGAUGAGCCUAGGUCGGAUUAGCUAGUUGGUGGGGUAAUGGCUCACCAAGGCGACGAUCCGUAACUGGUCUGAGAGGAUGAUCAGUCACACUGGAACUGAGACACGGCCCAGACUCCUACGGGAGGCAGCAGUGGGGAAUAUUGGACAAUGGGCGAAAGCCUGAUCCAGCCAUGCCGCGUGUGUGAAGAAGGUCUUCGGAUUGUAAAGCACUUUAAGUUGGGAGGAAGGGCAGUAAAUUAAUACUUUGCUGUUUUGACGUUACCGACAGAAUAAGCACCGGCUAACUCUGUG
rnacentral:rRNA from 1 species